GUGCUCACUUCUGCAGCACUUAUACUAAAAUUGGAUUGGGACAGAAGAGAAGAUUAGCGUGACCCCUAUGCAAGGAUGACAUGCAAAUGAAAUGUUUCAUGUUUUU
ensembl:snRNA U6 U6 spliceosomal RNA